AGUGAACGCUGGCGGUAGGCCUAACACAUGCAAGUCGAACGGCAGCACAGUAAGAGCUUGCUCUUACGGGUGGCGAGUGGCGGACGGGUGAGGAAUACAUCGGAAUCUACUUUUUCGUGGGGGAUAACGUAGGGAAACUUACGCUAAUACCGCAUACGACCUACGGGUGAAAGCAGGGGAUCUUCGGACCUUGCGCGAUUGAAUGAGCCGAUGUCGGAUUAGCUAGUUGGCGGGGUAAAGGCCCACCAAGGCGACGAUCCGUAGCUGGUCUGAGAGGAUGAUCAGCCACACUGGAACUGAUACACGGUCCAGACUCCUACGGGAGGCAGCAGUGGGGAAUAUUGGACAAUGGGCGCAAGCCUAAUCCAGCCAUACCGCGUGGGUGAAGAAGGCCUUCGGGUUGUAAAGCCCUUUUGUUGGGAAAGAAAAGCAGCAGGUUAAUACCCCGCUGUUCUGACGGUACCCAAAGAAUAAGCACCGGCUAACUUCGUG
rnacentral:rRNA from 1 species